GGCUAUCUCUGUGGCAGAAAGAGUGUCGGAUGAGCGAUGUGAGCCUUCACCUGGUAGUGACGGUUCAUUGGUUGGUUAUCAAGUACGCCUUGACGUUGCAAGGAAUGAGAAGACAAAACUUUUGUUUUGUACAACAGGAAUCCUUCUCAGGAAGCUGGCUGUAAAUAAAGACUUGGCUGGUAUCACACAUGUGAUAGUUGAUGAAGUUCAUGAACGAUCACUUUUGGGUGACUUUUUACUCAUUGUUCUCAAAAACCUUAUUGAGAAGCAAUCUGAUAUUGCCAGGCAAAAGUUAAAAGUGGUUAUCAUGU